GAUGAAGAACGUAGCGAAAUGCGAUAAGUAGUGUGAAUUGCAGAAUUCAGUGAAUCAUCGAAUCUUUGAACGCAUAUUGCGCUCUUUGGUAUUCCGAAGAGCAUGCUUGUUUGAGUAUCAGUAAACACCUCAAAGUCUUUUUUUCUUGAAGAAAAAGACCUUGGACUUGAGCAAUCCCAACUCUUCUUUCAGAAGAGGCGGGUUGCUUGAAAUGCAGGUGCAGCUGGACAUUCUCCUGAGCUAAAAGCAUAUUCAUUUAGUCCCGUCAAACGGAUUAUUACUUUUGCUGCAGCUAACAUAAAGGGAGUUUGACCAUUUUGGCUGACUGAUGCAGGAAUUUCACAAGAGUCUUCAAAACGCUCUUGUUAAACUCGAUCUCAAAUCAAGUAAGACUACCCGCUGAACUUAAGCAUAUCAAUAAGCGGAGGA
rnacentral:misc_RNA from 1 species